rnacentral:misc_RNA from 1 species
CCGAGUUUACAACUCCCAAACCCCUGUGAACAUACCUACUGUUGCUCGGCGGAUCCGCCCCGCUCCCUCGGUAACCGGGAUCAGCGCCCGCCAGAGACCCCUAAACUCUUGUAUUUCUUUAUGUAAUCUUCUGAGUAAAACCAUAAAUAAAUC